UACGUAGGGUGCAAGCGUUGUCCGGAAUUAUUGGGCGUAAAGGGCUCGUAGGCGGUCCAUCGCGUCGGGAGUGAAAAGCUGGGGCUUAACCCCAGUCCUGCUUCCGAUACGGGUGGACUAGAGGUAGGUAGGGGAGAACGGAAUUCCUGGUGUAGCGGUGAAAUGCGUAGAUAUCGAGAGGAACACCUGCGGCGAAGGCGGGUAGCUGGGCCGACACUGACGCUGAUGCGCGAAAGCCAGGGGAGCGAACGGG
rnacentral:rRNA from 1 species